rnacentral:rRNA from 1 species
GAUGAACGCUGGCGGCGUGCCUAAUACAUGCAAGUCGAGCGAACAGACGUGGUGCUUGCUCCUUUGACGUUAGCGGCGGACGGGUGAGUAACACGUGAGACACCUACCUACAAGACUGGAAUAACUUCGAGAAACCGGAGCUAAUACCGGAUAAUAUUUCGAACCGCAUGGUUCGAUAGUGAAAGAUGGCUUUGCUAUCACUGAUAGAUGGACCUGCGCCGUAUUAGCUAGUUGGUAAGGUAACGGCUUACCAAGGCAACGAUACGUAGCCGACCUGAGAGGGUGAUGGGCGACAGUGGCACUGGGACAGGGUCCCGACUCCUACGGGAGGCAGCAGUAGGGAAUGUGCCGCAAUGGGCGAAAGCCUGACGGAGCAGCGGCGCGUGAGUGAUGAAGGUCUUCGGAUCGUAGAACUCUGCUACUAGGGAAGAACAAACGUGUAAGUAGCUGGGCGGGUCUUGACGGUACCUGAUCAGAAAGCCACGGCUAACUACGUG